rnacentral:rRNA from 1 species
CACGUAGGGUGCGAGCGUUGUCCGGAAUCAUUGGGCGUAAAGCGCGUGUAGGCGGCCCGGUAAGUCUGGUGUGAAAAUCUCGGGGCUCAACCCCCGAGCGGUCAUCGGAUACUGCCGGGCUAGAAUCCGGAAGAGGCAAGUGGAAUUCCUGGUGUAGCGGUGGAAUGCGCAGAUAUCAGGAGGAACACCAAUGGCGAAGGCAGCUUGCUGGUACGGUAUUGACGCUGAGACGCGAAAGCGUGGGGAGCGAACAGG